GGUUAAGCGACUAAGCGUACACGGUGGAUGCCCUGGCAGUCAGAGGCGAUGAAGGACGUGCUAAUCUGCGAAAAGCGUCGGUAAGGUGAUAUGAACCGUUACAGCCGGCGAUGUCCGAAUGGGGAAACCCAGUGCAAUUCGUUGCACUAUCGUUAACUGAAUACAUAGGUUAACGAGGCGAACCGGGGGAACUGAAACAUCUAAGUACCCCGAGGAAAAGAAAUCAACCGAGAUUCCCCCAGUAGCGGCGAGCGAACGGGGAGCAGCCCAGAGUCUGAAUCAGCUUGUGUGUUAGUGGAACGGUCUGGAAAGUCCGACGGUACAGGGUGAUAGUCCCGUACACCAAAAUGCACAGGCUGUGAACUCGAAGAGUAGGGCGGGACACGUGGUAUCCUGUCUGAAUAUGGGGGGACCAUCCUCCAAGGCUAAAUACUCCUGACUGACCGAUAGUGAACCAGUACCGUGAGGGAAAGGCGAAAAGAACCCCGGCGAGGGGAGUGAAAAAGAACCUGAAACCGUGUACGUACAAGCAGUGGGAGCACCUUCGGGUGUGACUGCGUACCUUUUGUAUAAUGGGUCAGCGACUUAUAUUCUGUAGCAAGGUUAACCGUAUAGGGGAGCCGCAGGGAAACCGAGUCUUAACUGGGCGUUAAGUUGCAGGGUAUAGACCCGAAACCCGGUGAUCUAGCCAUGGGCAGGUUGAAGGUUGGGUAACACUAACUGGAGGACCGAACCGACUAAUGUUGAAAAAUUAGCGGAUGACUUGUGGCUGGGGGUGAAAGGCCAAUCAAACCGGGAGAUAGCUGGUUCUCCCCGAAAGCUAUUUAGGUAGCGCCUCGUGAACUCAUCUUCGGGGGUAGAGCACUGUUUCGGCUAGGGGGUCAUCCCGACUUACCAACCCGAUGCAAACUACGAAUACCGAAGAAUGUUAUCACGGGAGACACACGGCGGGUGCUAACGUCCGUCGUGAAGAGGGAAACAACCCAGACCGCCAGCUAAGGUCCCAAAGUCAUGGUUAAGUGGGAAACGAUGUGGGAAGGCACAGACAGCCAGGAUGUUGGCUUAGAAGCAGCCAUCAUUUAAAGAAAGCGUAAUAGCUCACUGGUCGAGUCGGCCUGCGCGGAAGAUGUAACGGGGCUAAACCAUGCACCGAAGCUGCGGCAGCGACACUAUGUGUUGUUGGGUAGGGGAGCGUUCUGUAAGCCUGCGAAGGUGUGCUGUGAGGCAUGCUGGAGGUAUCAGAAGUGCGAAUGCUGACAUAAGUAACGAUAAAGCGGGUGAAAAGCCCGCUCGCCGGAAGACCAAGGGUUCCUGUCCAACGUUAAUCGGGGCAGGGUGAGUCGACCCCUAAGGCGAGGCCGAAAGGCGUAGUCGAUGGGAAACAGGUUAAUAUUCCUGUACUUGGUGUUACUGCGAAGGGGGGACGGAGAAGGCUAUGUUAGCCGGGCGACGGUUGUCCCGGUUUAAGCAUGUAGGCUGAUUAUCCAGGCAAAUCCGGAUAAUCAAGGCUGAGGUGUGAUGACGAGGCACUACGGUGCUGAAGUAACAAAUGCCCUGCUUCCAGGAAAAGCCUCUAAGCAUCAGGUAACAUCAAAUCGUACCCCAAACCGACACAGGUGGUCAGGUAGAGAAUACCAAGGCGCUUGAGAGAACUCGGGUGAAGGAACUAGGCAAAAUGGUGCCGUAACUUCGGGAGAAGGCACGCUGGUGUGUAGGUGAAGUCCCUGCGGAUGGAGCUGAGACCAGUCGAAGAUACCAGCUGGCUGCAACUGUUUAUUAAAAACACAGCACUGUGCAAACACGAAAGUGGACGUAUACGGUGUGACGCCUGCCCGGUGCCGGAAGGUUAAUUGAUGGGGUUAUCCGUAAGGAGAAGCUCUUGAUCGAAGCCCCGGUAAACGGCGGCCGUAACUAUAACGGUCCUAAGGUAGCGAAAUUCCUUGUCGGGUAAGUUCCGACCUGCACGAAUGGCGUAAUGAUGGCCAGGCUGUCUCCACCCGAGACUCAGUGAAAUUGAACUCGCUGUGAAGAUGCAGUGUACCCGCGGCAAGACGGAAAGACCCCGUGAACCUUUACUAUAGCUUGACACUGAACAUUGAGCCUUGAUGUGUAGGAUAGGUGGGAGGCUUUGAAGCGUGGACGCCAGUCUGCGUGGAGCCAACCUUGAAAUACCACCCUUUAAUGUUUGAUGUUCUAACGUUGGCCCCUUACCGGGGUUGCGGACAGUGUCUGGUGGGUAGUUUGACUGGGGCGGUCUCCUCCCAAAGCGUAACGGAGGAGCACGAAGGUUAGCUAAUCCUGGUCGGACAUCAGGAGGUUAGUGCAAUGGCAUAAGCUAGCUUGACUGCGAGCGUGACGGCGCGAGCAGGUGCGAAAGCAGGUCAUAGUGAUCCGGUGGUUCUGAAUGGAAGGGCCAUCGCUCAACGGAUAAAAGGUACUCCGGGGAUAACAGGCUGAUACCGCCCAAGAGUUCAUAUCGACGGCGGUGUUUGGCACCUCGAUGUCGGCUCAUCACAUCCUGGGGCUGAAGUAGGUCCCAAGGGUAUGGCUGUUCGCCAUUUAAAGUGGUACGCGAGCUGGGUUUAGAACGUCGUGAGACAGUUCGGUCCCUAUCUGCCGUGGGCGCUGGAGAAUUGAGGGGGGCUGCUCCUAGUACGAGAGGACCGGAGUGGACGCAUCACUGGUGUUCGGGUUGUCAUGCCAAUGGCACUGCCCGGUAGCUAAAUGCGGAAGAGAUAAGUGCUGAAAGCAUCUAAGCACGAAACUUGCCCCGAGAUGAGUUCUCCCUGAGACUUUAAGUCUCCUGAAGGAACGUUAAAGACGAUGACGUUGAUAGGCCGGGUGUGUAAGCGCAGCGAUGCGUUGAGCUAACCGGUACUAAUGAACCGUGAGGCUUAACCUU
rnacentral:rRNA from 1 species